rnacentral:rRNA from 1 species
CUACGGGUGGCUCCAGUGGGGAAUAUUGGACAAUGGGGGAAACCCUGAUCCAGCAAUGCCGCGUGUGUGAAGAAGGCCUGCGGGUUGUAAAGCACUUUCGGUUGGGAGGACUGCUUCUAGCACUAAUAUUGUUGGAAGUUGACGUUACCUGCAGAAGAAGCACCGGUAACUCCGUGCCAGCAGCCGCGGUAAUACGGAGGGUGCAAGCGUUAAUCGGAAUUACUGGGCGUAAAGCGCGCGUAGGCGGCUAGAUCAGUCGGGUGUGAAAGCCCCGGGCUUAACCUGGGAACUGCAUCCGAUACUGUCUAGCUUGAGUACAGGAGAGGAGAGUGGAAUUCCACAUGUAGCGGUGAAAUGCGUAGAUAUGUGGAGGAACACCAAUGGCGAAGGCAGCUCUCUGGCCUGAUGCUGACGCUGAGGUGCGAAAGCGUGGGAGCAAACAGGAUUAGAUACCCUCGUAGUC